CAGGUUGGUCAGGCAGCCGCUCCGUUUUGAAUAAAAACGGGGAGGAAAGUCCGAACACCAGAGGGCAGGUUGCCUCACGAAGACCUGACCUGAUCAGGUUAAGUGAGGGUCUUGCGGUCGAUAUACUGCAAGAACGAAAAGUGUCACAGAAAACAUACAUCCCCUGCUCAGGCAAUAAACCUUGGGCAGGAGAUAAAGGUGAAAAGGUGGUGUAAGAGACCACCGCGCCACCAGUAAUGGUGGCGGUCCCGAAAAUCGGGAUUCUGGCAGUAGUUAAUUACUAUUGCUGGAACAGGACAAACUCCAACCGGUGCAAGACCAAGUAAGUCCCGUUCUCGAUAUAGUAAAUCUAUAUCGAGGAAGAGUUGCCCGCUCAACUUCUAUGCUUAGAAGACGGGAUGGGUAGGUCGCUAAGAUAAAUGGCUGCCUCUUCCGCAAUAAAAGCGGAAUAGACAGAAUUCGGCUUAUAGAUCUGCCUGCUGC
rnacentral:RNase_P_RNA from 1 species